GCACGGCCGGGGAGCCCUUCGGUGUGCUCGAUUUGUGUUUCUUUGGACUAACAAAAGUGUAUUUUCCUCGGAAUUUCUGCCACCAAAUCGCCCGGUUUCCCCGCUGAGGGGGGAGAAGAGCAGCCAGAAACGUGUUUGGAGCCGAUGGAGGGACAAAGCGUCCUUGGACACAUCGUGCAUGCACAACUGGUCUGCAGUCUGCUCUCUUCCUGGAUGUUGACACCUCAGACACUGAUGUGACACCCUUCCAGACUUAACCUGUGACCUGGAGUCACUGUGAUUAAGGCAGAAAAAAAUGCCAAUCAAUGAGAAAAAGGGUUGCCAGAGUUCACAGAGAUCUUUCAGAGCCCUUCACCUUCAAGGACUUUCCUCUGUCUCUGUGAGUAAUGAUGUGUGUAUUUGGCCAUGAUGAGCACAGCAUAUUCUCCAUAUUGGAAUUAUAUUAAUUUCCUAGACACAGUGAGUCCUGAACUACAAAUGGAGGACUGCAGGCAUAGCCAACAGAAAUGAGGCAUAGAUGGAAAAACCAUAAUGACUGAUUUUCAGUCAUGAAGUUAUACCAGGAUAACAAAGAGAAAUGUCAUCACUUGCAACACAACC